AUUGAACGCUGGCGGCAGGCUUAACACAUGCAAGUCGAGCGGAGCGAGGGUGCUGGCACCUUAGCUUAGCGGCGGACGGGUGAGUAAUGCUUAGGAAUCUGCCUAUUAGUGGGGGACAACAUUCCGAAAGGAAUGCUAAUACCGCAUACGCCCUACGGGGGAAAGCAGGGGAUCUUCGGACCUUGCGCUAAUAGAUGAGCCUAAGUCGGAUUAGCUAGUUGGUGGGGUAAAGGCCUACCAAGGCGACGAUCUGUAGCGGGUCUGAGAGGAUGAUCCGCCACACUGGGACUGCGACACGGCCCAGACUCCUACGGGAGGCAGCAGUGGGGAAUAUUGGACAAUGGGCGUAAGCCUGAUCCAGCCAUGCCGCGUGUGUGAAGAAGGCCUUUUGGUUGUAAAGCACUUUAAGCGAGGAGGAGGCUUCUUAGAUUAAUACUCUGGGAUAGUGGACGUUACUCGCAGAAUAAGCACCGGCUAACUCUGUGCCAGCAGCCGCAGUAA
rnacentral:rRNA from 1 species